rnacentral:rRNA from 1 species
UAUGUGAUCGUCUCUCGCAUAUCAAUAAGCGGAGGAAAAGAAACUAACAAGGAUUCCCCUAGUAACGGCGAGUGAAGCGGGAAGAGCUCAAAUUUGAAAUCUUAAAGGGUUUCCCUUUACGAAUUGUAGUUUAAAGAAGUGUUUCCUGUUGAGGUUUUGGUAAAAGUUCUUUGGAAUAGGACAUCAUAGAGGGUGAGAAUCCCGUAUUUGACCUUUACUUUCAACUUUGUGAUACACUUUCAAAGAGUCGGAUUGUUCGGGAAUGCAGUCCAAAAUGGGUGGUAAAUUUCAUCUAAAGCUAAAUAUUGGCGAGAGACCGAUAGCGAACAAGUACCGUGAGGGAAAGAUGAAAAGAACUUUGAAAAGAGAGUUAAACAGUACGUGAAAUUGUCAAAAGGGAAGCGUUUGACACCAGUGUUGUUUUUCUGAAAAUCAAUUAAAGAACUGUUUAUGCUAAGUUGUUUAGACUUUAUCAGCUAAUCUGCUUAGUUUUGAGCUUUUCUUUAAUGCACUUUUCAGUUAACAAGUCAACAUCAAUUUCUUUUGCUGUAAAAAAGCUUGAGGAAGGUGGCUUGAGAUUCGUCUUAAGUGUUUAUAGCCUCUUGCCUAUGCAGUCGGAGAGAUUGAGGUCUGCAGCGUAGAUCCUUCGGGGCUAAAUGCAUUUGUGCUAAGUUAUAACAUUUUAUAGACAACUUGUUGACUAUGAUUUGUCUUGUAGCUUACUCGCUUAUGUUAUUUUACCUACGCUUAGGAUGUUGAAGUCAUCGUAUCGCGC